GGCGAUAUGGCCGAGCGGUCUAAGGCGCCAGAAUCAGGACGUUGUGCCAUCUGGUCCUCACGGGCGUGGGUUCGAAUCCCACUGUCGUCA